rnacentral:piRNA from 1 species
UGUAUUUUACGAAAACUCAAA